rnacentral:rRNA from 1 species
UAAGACAGAGGUGCCGAGCGUUAGGCGGAAUCACUGGGCUUAAAGCGUGUGUAGGCGGACAAUUAAGUACCUUGUGAAAUCCCACGGCUUAACCGUGGAACUGCUGGGUAUACUGGUUGUCUUGAGCCACUUAGGGGCGAGCGGAACAAAUGGUGGAGCGGUGAAAUGCGUAGAUAUCAUUUGGAACGCCAAUGGUGAAAACAGCUCGCUGGGAGUGUGCUGACGCUGAGACACGAAAGCCAGGGUAGCGAACGGGAUUAGAUACCCCGGUAGUCCUGGCCGUAAACGAUGUCGACUAGAUCGUAGUGCCUCUGACGGUAUUACGGUCGAAGCAAAAGUGCUAAGUCGACCGCCUGGGAAGUACGGUCGCAAGGCUA